rnacentral:rRNA from 1 species
GCGCGGCGAAGAAAUCUCAAACUCACAGACGCAGAAAAGAAAAGCAUCAAGAUAGGGAAGAAACAGUCUUGCUCCCUGGAGGUGAGUAAGCUUCAGGCUGUGGGUAAGCUCUUGUCUGAAAGACCAGCAAAAGCAGAGUAUUUAGGAAGAGUGUUAAGUGGUGCUUGGUGCCCUUUCUCUAGAGUGGAAUGCAAGGGUCUGGGUAGAAAUCACUUCCUGUUUCAGUUUCAUGAUGAUGUGAGCAAGAACAAAGCGAUAAGAGGUGGACCCUGGAUGUUUAACAAAGAUGUACUAGUGAUGGAAGAUUUUGUGCCAAGCAAAACUAUAUAUGACUAUGAACUUAAGUCGAUUCCUAUAUGGGUGAGAGCAUAUGGCAUACCAAUGGGAAUGAUGAGCACAGAAACAGGGGAACUAGUGGGUGAUCAAAUUGGUGAAUUUUUGGAUGUUGAUUUGGACGACAAUGGAAGUGCAAUGGGAGUAUUUGUGCGAAUCAAAGUGAAGAUGGACAUAACAGUCCCUAUUAUAAGGUUUAGAGCAUCUCCAACGGCCGCGCUAAACAAGCGCCGCGCCGCAAAUUUGGCCAGUUUAGCGCGCGCAACCCGGCGGGUGGCUCCAGCGGACGCGCAAUAA